rnacentral:tRNA from 1 species
GCCUGGCUGGCUCAGUUGGUAGAGCACGUGACUCUUGAUCUCAGGUUGUGAGUUCAAGCCCCACAUUGGGUG